rnacentral:rRNA from 1 species
GACGAACGCUGGCGGCGUGCUUAACACAUGCAAGUCGAACGGGCCCGCCCCUUUGGGGGUGGGUUGAGUGGCGAACGGGUGAGUAUCACGUGAGUAACCUGCCCCCUGCUCCUGGAUAACUGCUUGAAAGGGCGGCUAAUACGGGGUGUGCCGGCUGGUCCGCAUGGGCCUGGUCGGGAUAGUUUCAUCUUCGGGUGUUUCGGUGGGGGAUGGGCUCGCGGCCUAUCAGCUUGUUGGUGGGGUGAUGGCCCACCAAGGCGGUGACGGGUAGCCGGCCUAAGAGGGUGGGCGGCCACACUGGGACUGAGACACGGCCCAGACUCCUGCGGGAGGCAGCAGUGGGGGGUAUUGCACAAUGGGCGGAAGCCUGAUGCAGCGACGUCGCGUGAGGGAUGGAGGCCUUCGGGUUGUGAACCUCUUUCUCCGGUGGUGAAGGCCCUGUCCGUUGCGGCGGGGUUGACGGUAGCCGGGUAUGAAGCGCCGGCUAACUACGUGCCAGCAGCCGCGGUAAUACGUAGGGCGCGAGCGUUGUCCGGAAUUAUUGGGCGUGAAGGGCUUGUAGGCGGCCGGUCGCGUCCGCCGUGAAAUUCUCCGGCUCAACCGGGGGCUUGCGGUGGGUACGGGCCGGCUGGAGUGCGGUAGGGGGAGGCUGGAACUCCUGGUGUAGCGGUGGAAUGCGCAGAUAUCAGGAGGAACACCGGUGGCGAAGGCGGGUCUCUGGGGCCGUUACUGACGCUGAGGAGCGAAAGCGUGGGGAGCGAACAGG